UACGUAGGGUGCAAGCGUUGUCCGGAAUUAUUGGGCGUAAAGAGCUCGUAGGCGGUCUGUCGCGUCGGCUGUGAAAACUCGGGGCUCAACUCCGAGCUUGCAGUCGAUACGGGCAGGCUAGAGUUCGGCAGGGGAGACUGGAAUUCCUGGUGUAGCGGUGAAAUGCGCAGAUAUCAGGAAGAACACCCGUGGCUAAGGCGGCUCUCUAGUACGGUACUGACGCUGAGACGCGAAAGCGUGGGGAGCAAACAGG
rnacentral:rRNA from 1 species